rnacentral:rRNA from 1 species
GAUGAACGCUGGCGGCGUGCCUAAUACAUGCAAGUCGAGCGAACGGACGAGAAGCUUGCUUUUCUGAUGUUAGCGGCGGACGGGUGAGUAACACGUGGAUAACCUACCUAUAAGACUGGGAUAACUUCGGGAAACCGGAGCUAAUACCGGAUAAUAUUUUGAACCGCAUGGUUCAAAAGUGAAAGACGGUCUUGCUGUCACUUAUAGAUGGAUCCGCGCUGCAUUAGCUAGUUGGUAAGGUAACGGCUUACCAAGGCAACGAUGCAUAGCCGACCUGAGAGGGUGAUCGGCCACACUGGAACUGAGCCACGGUCCAGACUCCUACGGGAGGCAGCAGUAGGGAAUCUUCCGCAAUGGGCGAAAGCCUGACGGCGCAACGCCGCGUGAGUGAUGAAGGUCUUCAGAUCGUAAAACUCUGUUAUUAGGGAAGAACAUAUGUGUAAGUAACUGUGCACAUCUUGACGGUACCUAAUCAGAAAGCCACGGCUAACUACGUG